CCCUUAGAUGUUCUGGGCCGCACGCGCGCUACACUGAUGAAUGCAACGAGCUCUACCCUUGACCGAAAGGCCCGGGUAAACUUGUGAAACUUCAUCGUGAUGGGGAUAGAUUAUUGCAAUUAUCAAUCUUCAACGAGGAAUUCCUAGUAAGCGCGAGUCAUCAGCUCGCGUUGAUUACGUCCCUGCCCUUUGUACACACCGCCCGUCGCUCCUACCGAUUGAAUGGUCCGGUGAAAUCUUCGGAUUGCUGACCAAGAUCCAGCAAUGGAGCUUGGUUGCGAGAAGUUGAUUAAACCUUAUUAUUUAGAGGAAGGAGAAGUCGUAACA
rnacentral:rRNA from 1 species